AUGCUCGGUUUGGUAGCACAUAUACUAAAAUUGGAAUGACACAGAGAAGAUUAGCAUGGCUCCUGUGCAAGGAUGCCAUGUAAAUUCGUGAAGUGUUUCAUAUUUUU
rnacentral:snRNA from 1 species